UAAAAUUUCAAGUAAAGAAAAGAUAAAUUAAGCUUCUAACUUAAAUACUGGUUCAACCACUUUUC
rnacentral:tRNA from 1 species